UGAGCUGUCUCAGAUUAGCCAUGCAUGUCUAAGUAUAACUCUGUAUACUAUGAAACUGGCAAUGGGUCCUUUAAAUCGUUAAUGUUUAUUUGGUUAUCAACUUUACAUGGAUAACCGUGGUAAUUCUCUAGCUAAUACAUGCUGGACUGCCCGACUCUGUAAGGGCCGUAUUUAUUUUAUAUCAUCCAAUACCCAUCUGCUAUUGUGGUGACUCAUAUGAACUUAAUCGGAUCGCAUGGGCUUGGCCCGCGACAAACCAUUCAAGUUUCUGCCCCAUCAUGCUUUCGAUGGUAGUGUAUUGGACUACCAUGGCUUUCACGGGUAACGGAGGAUUAGGGUUCGAUUCCGGAGAGGGAGCCUGAGAAACGGCUACAACUUCCACGGAAGGCAGCAGGCGCGUAAAUUACCCAAUCCUGAUUCACGGAGGUAGUGACAAGAAAUAAUGGGUCGGGGCUAUGCCCUGAGACUGCAAUGACACGAAUUUAUGACCCCUUAUCGAG
rnacentral:rRNA from 1 species